rnacentral:lncRNA from 1 species
CCCACCCGCUUCGCGGGGUCACCUGUCUAAGCCUCAAGCCAGUCGGGCUCAGGGCCAUUUUCCCACGGAGUAAGAACCAGAACGCCAGCUGCCCCAGCGGCGCUCGCACCAUCCACCCUUGAAAUUGCCGUAGAAGAGACAGAAACUGAAAACCAUGGUUUCAGGCUGCUAAAAACCUAACAUGAAACAAAACAGAAGAACAACAACAACAAAAUAAGGAAGAGUGACCUAUGGGAUCCAUGGAGGAGCUGCUUCCUGAAUCUGUGUAAAGUAGAUCUUGCCGUGUGGGUAACUGUGACUGCGGUGGCCAUGAAGAGGCACAACUCAGACCUCGGAUCUCCUGCUGCAGAGAACAUUGACUGACAGCCCAGCAGCUCCUGUCUGGAUCUACCACCUGUUCACAAUUCUGAAAUACAUUCAACGCACACUUUCCUACUGAGAUUUCUAAAAUGGGACUUGGAAAACAGAAAAAUACUAAAGUGGGGUACUAUCAUCUAAAUCUCCAAAAAGGUCAUUCAACUCUGAUCCCUGUUUAAAGAGAGAAAAAAGGAAUAAAGGAGCCUUUGAAGGCAGAAUAUUGCUCACUCAUCUCUUUGAAAGGACCUCAGACUGCAGAGCAGAAGAACCACUGGCUACAUCAGCUGGGGCAGAGGGGGAUGAAGAGAACAUCAUGAUGCCUGCAAAAAAGUGGGCUCUGCAGGAUCUCCAGUCACCUCCCUUCCCUUCAGAUCCAGAGCUCUCUCUGGCUAGGACCUUCCAGAGUUCCAGAAUUUUUGUUCCACCUUCCAUUGCUCACUUCUAUUACUAUUACUAAGAUAUUCACAUGGAAUUCUGUGCAAACCAUUUUUUUUUUCUUUUGGUGCCCUCUUUGUUUUACUUCCUCUAUUGGGACUAAUGGCCAUCUGACUUGGGGGUCCUUUGUUUUUUGUGACAAACCACCCUCAGCAGAUUUCCUUGAGGUCCAUUUGCUCAAGGGCCUUAAAGCUUUUUGGAGUAAUACAGAGUAAGUUUCUAGACAGCCUCUUGUGCUCUGCAGUAAGCUAAAGUGGAAGAUUAAGAUGCCUGGUGUAUACUGUGUGUUUCCCAUGUAAUGGCAGAAAAGGAAUGGGGCUCAUUAGUUACUUUAAGGUGGCAGCAGCUACCUUAGAGAAGACUGCAUUGCUUGUACUGAUUCAAAAGAGCACCUAAUGAAGGGAAAAAGCAGAAAUAAGCCAAGACUUGAGCUGAGUGAUUCGUUGAAUCAGCCAAGGAUAAUGUUCUUCAGGCACUAUGCACAUGUCACUGAUCAGUAGCGCUUCUCUUAAGCUUCAACAGCACUCACUUCCCCUGUCUUGAUGAGGUGAGCAGCACAUUUAAUUUCAGCUCCUGGGGCCAUCUGCAAACCUCUACUCCAUUCCUCAGCUGUGUUUGCUCCUCUGUUCUCAGGGAGCAGCAUUUUCACUGGAUGCAAACUGUGAGGCACUGUCUGGGCAAGCAGAUUGGUUACUAAUGAGGAAACUGGCACUGACAGCCUUUUGGGUUCUGAUUGAAGAAAAGAGAUGUCUUCGCAUCAGAAUGGUUUAACUUUCAAUGUGGCAUAUCAACUGGUUGAAAUUAGGGAGAGAGAGAAAGAGAAAUUUAAUUGUCAGGCUGUGGUGCGUAGUGUCAAAGCUACCUAGAUUAUGAGAAAUACGUCUUUUCAACAGCUUAAAGGCCACAGCUCUCAACAUUUUUUCUGCAUGUACAACACAGACAGGAUCCAGAAAUCCCAGCCUAUAACUCUUGGUUCCGUCAAAUACUCAACAGAGAAAACAGAAGUAUUUGAUUGUGGUAUUAACUAUGAAAUGUUCCCUAUUAGCCAUAUGAUUCUAUUAGCUCAGCUCAUUCCUGUUAGAUUUAUAGAAACAUUAGAGAUAAUUGGAAUUAGAAGGGCCAAGAGAGACGAUCCAAUCCCAUAUAGAGAAAAGCAAGACCCCUGCUCUCACUGAAGAAGUUUUAAAAAUAAUUAAACAACAAACAAACAAAUUGAGGCCCAGAGAGAUGAAGUAAUUUGACUGAUGUAUUCCAUCAGUGACAGACCUGGGACUGGAGCUCCAUCUCAGCUCUCAGCCCACUAAGAACCCUGUUCAUGGUGCCAUACUAGCAACCCCCUUCCUGUAGGAGUCUUUGAGAGUCAGAAUGACUUCUUGACUGAGAGGUACAUGUCUCUAGGAUAAGGACAAUUGAGGGGAUAAUGAGGAAAGAAAUAAUGUAAGUUAACUAUAUUUUGCCACAUGCCCUCCUCUCUCCAUGAAUCCAGGAUGUUGACCCAUAUCCAGCAUCCAUUGUGGGACUAAGUCUCGGACACCAAGGACUUCUAAGGAGCCUGCUCCAAUCUGAAAUGACUGUGGGGGAGCUGGCCAUUCCCCGAGCCAUUCUUGGAAUAUUGGGCCACAGGGGCCACUGGGGAGCAUGUAUAGGUAGGGGCGGCUUUGAUAUAAGCCUAGGUAUUCAAUUCUUCAUGGGACCCCCAAUGCUACCCCAAGUCUGCACCUUGAUUCCCAAAUACCCAAGAGAGACAAAAUGUCCUACUUUCUCUCUGAAGUUCUUCUAAUGUUGGAAGACCUAGGGUGGAGGCAAACCUUUCAGAGAAUUUCUGCUGGGAUUUAAAUGUAUGUCUAGCUGGCUUUAGACAUUAGAAGACUGUAAUAUGUACCUUAAUAAGUUGCCUUUCCCAUGGUGUUUGUUAUCCUCAGAAGACCCCCAUAGUGACUCUAGGAGACAAUUCUCAUAUCUUCUGAACUGUGCAUGUUCAUAGUUUUUCUGAGCAGGGUUUGCAUCUAGCAGCGAUGGAGGUAUAGGAGGUCACAGGCAACACUGCGUGCCUCACACAACAUUGUAGAUCAAGACACAGUUAAAUGGGCUGGCAAUUCUGAGUUUCUGAGUCCAGUCCCAUGACUAGUAUAGCUGUCAGAACUAGAGGGGCCAACCCUGGGAAUCUUGGAGAUGCUUUAUGAAUAUAUGAGAUUUCAGGCAUCCAAGCUCUUCUAUUUGUUUACAUGUAUUCUCAAUGUCUAUCUCCCAUUAUCAAAUCUAUUCCAAAAGUAUUUUUUCAACACUUGCUGGAGACUCUUGGAUAAAGCUAGUAAACGUGCUUUUAUUAAGCUCCAACUCUGUGCUGACCACUUAUACAUAUAUUGUCUCAGUUGCACUCAAAAUGCUAUUGUGUGUUAGGGUUCUUUCUUACAGAUUUUGAAACAGUGUCUUGGAGAGGUUAGGUGAAUUGCUCAAAAGACGCAGCAAGCACAGAGCUGUGACUUGGUCCUGUCUUAUCUGCUUUGGGGUUAUGGGUAGUUUAUCUUUAUAUGCCUAUUUUAACAGUAGACCCUCAACCACUGAAAUUGACAGGAAAAAGUAUGUGGUUGUUUUACCAAACAAACAAACAGACAAAAAACCAAACCCACCAAACCUGAAAUUUUUGGUUUGGUCAACAUUUUAAUUCAACUGUACUCAAUGUAUUAACAAUGGUGAUUUGAUAUGAUGGAUGUAAUUGAUAAUCAAUGCAGUGCCAUUUAUAGACUGCCUAAAAGUGCAUUGUACAUCAUUUUGACAACAUAUUUACCUGCAUUGUUUGGGCAAAAUGAAUUUUAAAAUUAUUUUUUGUUUCCUAAAUUUGUAUCAAUUGAAAAAAAAAAAGUCAUCUGGGUAGCAGACAGAAGUCAGCCUGGGACUACAGUGGGUCAUAACCCUGAGGAUUCAAAUGUGGGCAAUGGCAACAACAUCAGCGACUAAAGCUGUCAGUGGAGAAAAGAAGAAAGCACACGCCAGCCACCCUGCAGAACAAUGCAGUUCUUUCAGAGUCACAUAGUCCUAAAUCUGGAAACCAUCACAGCUGAGAGGAUAAGCUUUGGAACCCGAUAGUGGUCUAAAACUAGGCUCUGCCUGCCAUGGACAAACUACAAGAGACUGGGAAGUGAGUUAAACCUGAGCUAAAUCCCAGUUUCCUUCUCUGCAAAACAGGGAGUGGGGACAGUGGAAUAACACCUCCCUCAUAGAACUGUUGGGAGGCAUAAAUGACCCUCAGCACAGGGUGGUGUGUAUGGAAUGUGCAUCAUAAGUGGCAGCUAUUUUGAUAAUUACUAAACAUGAUGAAUGAUGAUAAGCGAAAUAAUAACACAGCUUUUCAACAUUUUCACUCAAUAAGUUAAAUUUAUAAUAGGCAAGCAAAGGAGUUUCCAGAAUUAAGCAUCUGAUGGGAGCUUAGACAGGUUGACUUUUACAGCUCAUUCUAACCCUGAGUGAGGGUCUGUGAUUUUAUAAGCCCUUUUAGGGUUCGAGUGCUACUUCUAAUCAAGAUCCUGGUAUCAUGUUUUUCUCCAUUACGUGGAACAAUAAUGAAUAGAUAAAUAAAAUAUAACUGGGAAAGGAGAACACAGAUUGAACACAUGCAUUUAUCUCCACUCUUGUCCAAAACCUCACAGUAAAAUAAUUUAAAAUACAUGAACCUAUAAGAACAAGAGAGGGGAGAUAUGAUGAAAGAGAAAACCAAAAUUUUGGAAGUUGGAAAAAAAUGGAAGGCUGGUUAGCCAAUUAGGGACAGUAGAAAGCUGCAUAUCUGUAAGGCACAUGCUGCCAAGAGAGAAAAGCAAGGCAAUUUGGAUGUGGAACCUCAGACAGGCUUAGAAUAGGAAACAGAUCCAUGAGUCAUGACACUGUGGUUGAGAUUUCUGCUUUAGCCAUUCCAGCGUAUGCUUGUUUUUCCCUAAAAGUCUUUACUCAUUUGUUUUCUCUCUUCCGCCCAGUGAACAUCUACUCAUUCUUCAAAACCCAGAACUGUUGUUGUUUCUUGAAAAAUGGAGAUUAUUCCAAAGUUCUUUUAGCCUUUGCAAUGUGAAGGCAUGUGUCAGGGUUGGGAGGAGUUGGGGAACAGCACCUCUUUCUUUUAACGUCCAAUUGAUUGAGGCCAAUGGGUCAUCCUGCCUCCUUCCCUAAAUAUUCCUGAGAAUGCUCAGAGAGGGCCCACAUGUUCCCUAAGUCCAUUCUGGUUACCCUGUGUGCCUUCUUGCUCUGGUCUGCUGCUCCCAGCUUCUUCACGAUCACUUGUGAUCAUUUGCUAGCCUUUUUUUAGUCCAUUUUACUCCAAAGCAAGAAUACAGUACUUGCUCCUUACUCUCCAAUGCUUACCAAUGCAACAACAAGAGGUAAUAGUAUUUAACAAAUUUUGAUACGGAGGAAAGGAAAACCUAAAAUAAGGUACCAUGUAUCACUAUUCCUGAAUUCUGUCAUCAUGUCCCUUUAAAGGCAGUGCUCUAUAGGUUCCGUCUCUCCUGUGGCCCCAGCCUGCUGCCACUGGAACAAGGGUCCAGGGUUCUUAAUGCACGGAAGUCUUCAUCUUAUCCCCCACAAAUCUACAGCCAAAAGAAGGAAAUACCCAUUGAUGACACGAUAGACAAUAUAACAGUUGACAAGAUAAUUGAUACAGCGUGCCCAAUGUGAAGAGAGAAUUUGUCACGGCUAGAGUAGUGAACCUUCUCCAGGUGAACCAUCUGCCGUUGGAAGCUUCCUUUUGUCCAGGGCUCCUGCAAGGCCAGUGAGUAGGUACUUCUAUCUACACAUGACUGAAAAAGACUUACCAAAACCAAUAUAUUCCCAAGGAUACUUUCUAAAUUCUACCCAAGGAGCAGAUGCUGCUCACAAUUCUCUAAAACAAGGUCUUUUUUUUUUCAACCCCAGAUAUAUCAAGAAUGGGACACAAUCUCCGAGGAAGAAAUUGUCAGCAUCUAUCUUGAAAAUAUCUUUGGUUUCCCAUUACAUUUCGGAUUUCUCUAGACCAUAUUUGUAGUUCCCUUUUUGGUGUUCCCAUUCUUGUAAGUUUAUAUAAACAGCAAUAAGACUAUAGCUCUUCUCACAGGAUACUUUGUUAUUUCUUAAUGGGACUGUCUGUCCUGUAGGCUAUGAGCUAUUUGAGGGCAAAGAAUAUUCUAUUCAUCUUUAUAUUCCUGGCACAUGGUAGGCACUCAGUAAUGCUGCUGCUGAAUUGAAUCGGCUGUGGGAAAAAAACAAAUGCUUCUCCUCAGUCAGCAUUUGUUUUCUAGGAUCUAUUCCAAUAUAUUUCCAACAAAAAUAUGAGAUUUAAAAGAUAGGCAGAGAGUGAAUUGAACUGAAUAUUGCACAAAAACUCCUUGUCUUUAAAGGUGGAAACAAAAUCCACCACCUUCCCAAGAUAGCUGUUCUGUCUCACAUCUUCUUGAAGCAAUGAAAUGAUGAGUACUGUGAUCAGAGAGGACCCUCAGAAAAUAAAUAAAAACCCAGCUCUACAAAUGCAGCCGUAAGCCAGGAGGAUAUGACGAAGGAUAUCAUUAUCAUCCUGAUAUUUUUAGAAGUUCUUUGGUGACAGGUCAGAUUUUUGAGAAUCAGAAAAUGAUAAAAAUAAUCUUGUUAUUCCACAAAGGAGGCUCUAUAUAUAUCAGGCCGAUUUUGAACACUGCCUGAGAAUGUUGAGAAAAUAUUUUUAAAUGUUAGUGAAAUGAUAGGCUUUGGGGGCAGACCCAGCCUCGCUUUAGAAAAAGCUUUAUCGUGGGGGGAUUGAGAGAUUUUAGUGAUGUGAGCAUUGUAAAGAAUCAGCAGUGAGUGGGUGUAAGUUUUUGUUUUCCAAUUUUCCAGAGGAGGGUCCACCUGGGAAGAAUUUCAUGAAAUUUACAGAAAUCUGAAAAUUGCUUUUGAAGCUAUUACAGGUACCUGGGGAGUCCUCCUUGGCCCCACAGGCUGACUACACUAUCCAGAUCUUAAGGGACUCUCAUCUUUCCUAACUUCUAGGUUGCAGGAUUCUGCAGAAUUACUUCUGCAGCUUCCAUUUGUAGCUAUUGCUAAGUGGACCCAUAGCUAUAUGGGAUGUGGGGCUCUGGAUUUCAGGUAGAAAUGACCCUUUGUUUAUUUGAGAUGUUUGCUUCUUUAAAUACUCAGCCAUCUGACUCUCUAAUUGUUUAGGAUUAGUCAUAAGUUAAGUAGGACAGGGAAGAUGUUAUAAAUAGUUUAUUGCAUAUCCAUUCAAGAAAUUUAGGCUAAGUUUAUAUAUUUUACCUUCUGAAAGGAGAAAGCCUGUGUGUUUAUUUAAAGCAUUGUAGAUUUUUUCUCAUUUAGAAUAUAUGAGUCUAGUAUAAAAAUUGAUUCUAGAUGAUUUAUAUGUAAGUUGCUCUUUUCUUCAUACUUAUUUUGCUACCUUUUUAUUUCAUGUUUUUUCUUAAGUAUGACUUUGAGCCUUUAAAAGUAUUUCCUUUAUGUCUCUUUUGAAUAUCAAAAACAACAUGAAUUAAAAAUAGAAGUCUACAUAUCAA